rnacentral:lncRNA from 1 species
CACCCUGCCUUGUUCUAUUACCAAUUGUUCCCUUUGCUCAGGUGUCCUUCUCCAAGCAUGCUUCUGCCAGAGGAACCACAGGCCACAGAAGUGUACACUUCACCGGUACAGUCACACACAAAGAAGAGAAACUCUGCCAUGACCAGAUGCAGUCAAUCAAGAUGCUGAGCAGUUUUCAUUACUCAAUAGUUCCCAAGCGAGGUUAACAUACAAUCUCCCCUCUCCUACCUCAUCCUUUUGAAAUAAAAUUGUGAUGACUUAUGGGACAAGAAGCAGCCUACAGAGAACCAAAAGGACAAUGUAGAAUUGAGGAAAUUGUUACUCCUUUUUUGCUGUGAUUUCCAUGAAAUUAUUCAUGAAUCUUUUUUUUUUCCUAGGGGGAGUGACCAUAAAUAUCAUCUGUAAUGCAUCUUCAUUAGUAGCUUUCAUCUCUGACAGGGCCUGUGUCUUUUGUUGGGAGCUAAAUGUUGCUGGUAGAAAUGCGAGCCCACGUCUUGGGUGUACAGCAUUUGUGUAAAAUAUGAACUCUAAUGUGUAGAAUUUGCAGGUCGCUGAAGUGUCACAGUCUACUGAAACGGUCUGGAAUCAAUAAGUGGAGGUGACGGCCCCCUAAGAAAAUCAGAAGAGACAUGAGCACAUUGAAGAUCUAAAGGAGAACAAAGUGUUUUCAGUUACACACCAGCAGGACUUCCCUCUUUGCACACCCCUGGAGUCUCUUCCAAGUGGAAAAUCACACUCUGUCCUUCGCUGGAGAGCAAAAAGGGAAGGCCAGUAAAACAAGGCCCCUCCUGGACUUGGCCAGCCCCUGCCCCCAUCCCCUGCUGCCCCAACUAAGAUCCUGGGCCAACGAGAUAAAUGGAAGGUUCAGCUCUUGCAGCUGACACGGGUGGGGGGCAGAAGCCCACUCUGGGCACUUCCAGCCGACACUGACCUUUCAGUCAUGGAAACAUUCCCCAGACCGACGCUAAUCGGGGGCACAUCUGGCGUUUGGACUGCAUCCAGAUGGGGGUUGUGUUAGUCGAGUCAGCACGAUAACCCACUGGGGAGGCAGGAGAGGGGAGAGUGCAAGGCUGCUGAGAGCAAUCAACAUCUUUGGCUGGGUAUGUGAGACGUGGCUGUGCUGUAGCUGGACAAGAGACGGCAAUUGGGAACAAGACCUCAUGGUAUUGAAGGUCCAGCCACACAGUUAGGACUGACGAAGGAUCUUGGCCAGCUCUCAGUGUCUGCCUUUACAAAGCCUGACACCUGUUGCAGCCAUGAAGAGUACUGCUAAGGAGGUAAUUAAGCAAACGAAAGCCGGGAUAAAAGGGAUUAUGUCCCCACCUACCCACACAGAAGGUCGUCUCCAGCUGUCUGAAGGAAGUUCUUUCCACGCCCUGGAGUGUACUCCCCACUCGUAGGCACUGCGUUUCAUCUACCCAGUGAUCCUUUCCUCUAUAAACCUCCAGGCACAGAUAAUUAUGGAAAUCAGGAAUCUCAUCCACCUGCUCAAAUCACAAAGCAAUUAGCAAGAUCUUCUAAUAUAAAAACUGCAGAGAUCUAUUCAUCCUUCUUCCUUUGUUGGUUACAAAUGUGAAAAGAAACAGGGAAAUAACCAAGGUAAAAACAAGACCCUAUCAAUGGUCAGUUUCCCAAAGUAAGUUCCAGUUCCUCCAGUACCUAACCACUGUGCAGAACUCUCAAGCACUGUACUUUUCCUUCUACAUCCAGCCUCUAUGCAAAGGGCAACUGUCAUCCACCAUCUAGUCAAUUUUGUCCUCUUCUGGAACAAUCAGAAAGGAAAACUACCUUCACUCCAAAUCAAGAUAUUUCACUCCUACCCACCUGAAGAUCACCCCCACCCCUAACCCCUCAUUUCCAUUGUCCUAUCUGAGAAAUAGCCUUUAUCCACCCCUGAUGGGCAAGACGGUUGUCACUGAGCCAGAAGAAUGAUUCUCCUCCUCCCUUUAGGGGACAGCUUAUCAGUUUCGCCCUCCUCGGAAGGAUUGUGUGACACUUCACAAGCUCUCCAGGUCUCUGAGCAGGAGCUCACAGACACCAUCACUCUAUCUAGAGCAAGUCAGGGUCUCUGCUGGUGCCAAUCCUUUUUCCCCCUCGAUGAUUUGGUACAAAGCCAUUGCAUGUUCCAUGCCAAACCAGUAAUUCACAACACUCAUCAAAAUCUGUCUCCAUCACCUGACUCAGCAUUCCUGCUUUCUGAGUAUAGCCAGCCUCCCUAACACCCUGACAUCCUAGCCUCAGCUUCACUAUUUACAUCACAUGAGACCUUUGGGCUUAGAAAGUCCAAUUCCCUUUGGAUGAAGUAUGCAGAUGAUUCAUCCUCUCUGAGAAGUCUGCUCACCCUGGGCCUUGAUAUCUAUGCCAAAACGCUUCUGAGAUGGCUCUCAGAGAGGACAGAGUGGAGAAGUCCUGUUGCUGUGGAAACCAGUGUGCCAGUUUCCAAAUAAGAGAGACUAGCUGUUCUUGGGGCACUGCUUUGCCAGGGUGUCCUGUAGAAACUGAGGAAGCUUCCAGCCUGGAGCGGCUGUAGACACAGCCUGGGAUCUCCAUGGAGCCUCAGGCCACACUGACGCUUCCCUCUUCCCUUCGUCUGACCUCCUCUCACACUGAGAGACCCAACCCACCACAGACAUCCCAUCUGGCC